UAAGGAAUAUUGGUCAAUGGAGGCAACUCUGAACCAGCCAUGCCGCGUGCAGGAAGAAGGCCCUAUGGGUCGUAAACUGCUUUUUGAACAAGAGAAAACCCCGGUACGUGUACUGGGUUGAUAGUAUUGUUAGAAUAAGCAUCGGCUAACUUCGUGCCAGCAGCCGCGGUAAGACGAAGGAUGCAAGCGUUAUCCGGAUUCAUUGGGUUUAAAGGGUGCGUAGGCGGACUGAUAAGUCAGUGGUGAAAUCUCUCGGCUUAACCGAGAAACUGCCAUUGAUACUGUUAGUCUAGAGUACAGAUGAUGUGGGCGGAAUAUGACAUGUAGUGGUGAAAUACUUAGAUAUGUCAUAGAACACCGAUUGCGAAGGCAGCUCACAAAACUGUAACUGACGCUGAGGCACGAAAGUGCGGGGAUCAAACAGGAUUAGAUACCCCUGUAGUCCCUGAGCGGGCUGGCAAGGCGCAU
rnacentral:rRNA from 1 species